rnacentral:rRNA from 1 species
AUUGAACGCUGGCGGCAGGCCUAACACAUGCAAGUCGAGCGGAGCGGCGGACGGGUGAGUAAUGCCUAGGAAUCUGCCUGGUAGUGGGGGAUAACGUCCGGAAACGGGCGCUAAUACCGCAUACUAUCAGAUGAGCCUAGGUCGGAUUAGCUAGUUGGUGGGGUAAAGGGCUACCAAGGCGACGAUCCGUAACUGGUCUGAGAGGAUGAUCAGUCAAACUGGAACGGGGACACGGUCCAGACUACGACGGGAGGCAGCAGUGGGGAAUAUUGGACAAUGGGCGAAAGCCUGAUCCAGCCAUGCCGCGUGUGUGAAGAAGGUCUUCGGAUUGUAAAGCACUUUAAGUGGAGAAGCGUUACCAACAGAAUAAGCACCGGCUAACUACGUGCCAGCAGCCGCGGUAAUUC